AUGCACGCUGGCGGCAUGCUUCACCCAUGCCAGUCGAACGGGAAGUGGUGUUUCCAGUGGCGAACGGGUGAGUAACGCGUAAGAACCUGCCCUUGGGAGGGGAACAACAACUGGAAACGGUUGCUAAUACCCCGUAGGCUGAGGAGCAAAAGGAGAAAUCCGCCCAAGGAGGGGCUCGCGUCUGAUUAGCUAGUUGGUGAGGUAAUAGCUUACCAAGGCGAUGAUCAGUAGCUGGUCCGAGAGGAUGAUCAGCCACACUGGGACUGAGACACGGCCCAGACUCCUACGGGAGGCAGCAGUGGGGAAUUUUCCGCAAUGGGCGAAAGCCUGACGGAGCAAUGCCGCGUGGAGGUGGAAGGCCUACGGGUCGUCAACUUCUUUUCUCGGAGAAGAAACAAUGACGGUAUCUGAGGAAUAAGCAUCGGCUAACUCUGUG
rnacentral:rRNA from 1 species